GAUGAACGCUGGCGGCGUGCCUAAUACAUGCAAGUCGAGCGAACGGACGAGAAGCUUGCUUCUCUGAUGUUAGCGGCGGACGGGUGAGUAACACGUGGAUAACCUACCUAUAAGACUGGGAUAACUUCGGGAAACCGGAGCUAAUACCGGAUAAUAUUUUGAACCGCAUGGUUCAACAGUGAAAGACGGUCUUGCUUUAAAUUAUAGAUGGAUCCGCGCUGCAUUAGCUCGUUGGUAAGGUAACGGCUUACCAAGGCAACGAUGCAUAGCCGACCUGAGAGGGUCGUCGGCCACACUGGAAGUGAGACACGGUCCAGACUCCUAAGGGAGGCAGCAGUAGGGAAUCUUACGCAAUGGGCGAAAGCCUGACGGAGCAACGCCGCGUGAGUGAUGAAGGUCUUCGGAUCGUAAAACUCUGUUAUUAGGGAAGAACAUAUGUGUAAGUAACUGUGCACAUCUUGACGGUACCUAAUCAGAAAGCCACGGCUAACUACGUG
rnacentral:rRNA from 1 species